rnacentral:rRNA from 1 species
AAUGUACCUACUAGCCUACAACGGGUACGGGUUGUGAGAGCAAGAGCCCGGAGAUGGAUUCUGAGACAUGAAUCCAGGCCCUACGGGGCGCAGCAGGCGCGAAAACUUUACAAUGCGGGAAACCGUGAUAAGGGGACACCGAGUGCCAGCAUCAUAUGCUGGCUGUCCAGAUGUGUAAAAUACAUCUGUUAGCAAGGGCCGGGCAAGACCGGUGCCAGCCGCCGCGGUAACACCGGCGGCCCGAGUGGUGAUCGUGAUUAUUGGGUCUAAAGGGUCCGUAGCCGGUUUGGUCAGUCCUCCGGGAAAUCUGAUAGCUCAACUAUUAGGCUUUCGGGGGAUACUGCCAGGCUUGGAACCGGGAGAGGUAAGAGGUACUACAGGGGUAGGAGUGAAAUCUUGUAAUCCCUGUGGGACCACCUGUGGCGAAGGCGUCUUACCAGAACGGGUUCGACGGUGAGGGACGAAAGCUGGGGGCACGAACCGGAUU